rnacentral:lncRNA from 1 species
GAUGAAUCUACACGAAAACCCACUCAUAUUUUCCAUUUUAAAACUCAAGACUAGCUAAGUUCCUGCACCAUUCUUGAACUGCAUUAUUCUUUAACCAAUACAUAAAAGAUUAAACUGCCAACCCUCUCGAGAUCUAUGCAUGCGCUAAAUGCUUCCUCAUUUCAUCUUCAACUCUCUUCUUUCUUUUAACUCAUAUUUUAAUUAUAUAUACUACUCAUAUUAUGAACUUAAGAGUACUUAAACCGUAGAGUGAAGGUUUAGUUAAGACGAGAUGGCACAUAGUAGCAGAAAUACUAGGGUUUUGAGCUUAGCCAUUUUGUUGGUUUGUGUUGUUGUAGCUUGUAGUCUUUUGGACGGAGCUUUUGCACAGGCAGGGUACGGCAGUAUUGGCACCUUGAAUACAGAGAGCAAUAUUGGCAAAUUUCAUGCAGCUCUAACUCACUGCAAUAGUGCUGAUGUUGAAAAUCAAAGUUGUUGUAAAGCACUCAAUGCUUUGGAUCUUGCAUGGAAUUCUUUGCUUGGAAGAAUUUCAUAGAUGAUCUCUUCAAAUGUGGAGUUAUUCCACCACGUUGAGUAAGUUACAUUAUAUAUUUUCUUGUCCGCAGAAUUCUAUUACUAUAUGUUACUCCUUUGUUCCAGUAUAUGUGAACCUAUUUUCUUUUUGGUCUGUUUCAAAAAGAAGGAUCUCUUUCUAAUUUGGUAAUAAUUUUACUUAAACUUACAAUAUGAGAAGCUCUUAUAAUCACACAAAUACUCUGGGCCCAUUUGACUUGUUUAGGACGACAAAUUUCAAAAAUCUUCAUUUUUUCUUAAACUCUGUGGCUAGUCAAACAUGUUCACAUAAAUUGGAACGGAGUGAGUAUUUCUUUCGCUUAGAUUUUUAAUUAUCUUAUUCUGUUGUUGAAGGAAGAGGCGGAUCUAGGAUUUUAGCUUUAUGGAUUCAACAUUUAAGGUUAUGGGUUCAAUAUCUACUAUUUAUGUAAUUUUAAUAAUUUUUUACACGUAAAUUUUCGCUCUGUGUUAAAAGUACUGGGUUCAGUUGAAUCCAAUAGUUCCAUGUUGCAUCCUCCUCUGGUUGAAGGACAACCUUGGAGUAACUGGUAAAGUUGCCUUCAUUGACUAGGAGGUCACGAGUUCGAGAUAUGAAAAUAACUCCUUUAGAAAUGCAAGGUAAGGUUGUGUACAAUAGACCUUUGUGAUCCAGCCUUUUCCCGAACCCCGCGCAUAACGAGAGCUUAAUUAGUGUAUCGGACUGCCUUUUUUUUAUCUUGAUGUUGUUAUAGUUUGUUGUUACUACUUCCUAUUCAUCUUUUCUUGAGCCGAGUGUCUAUUAGAUGUAGCCUCUCUACCUUCACAAAGUAGGAGUAAGGUUUGAGUACACACAGAGCCAGAUGCAAUAUGAAUCGGCAUCGGGUUCAACUGAACCCAAUACUUUUGACGCGGAACAUAAGUUUAUAUGUAAAAGUUCAUUAAUAUUGCAAUAUAUAGCAAUAUGAACCCAUAAUUUUAAAAAGAUAAUGAGUUCAAUGCUAAAAACCUUAAAGGUUGUACCCAUAAAACUAAAAUACUAUAGAUCUGCCUCUAUGUAGAUACUACCUUUCCCAGACCUCACUUUGUGGGAUUAUACUUAAUAUUUUGUUGUUGUUAUUGUUGUUGUUAUAUAUUUGGUCUUAUUAACUCUAUAGUUGUACUAAGGUAGUGAAAUUCCUAGUGACUUGCAAAGGCGGAACCAGAAUUUCAAGCUUAUGUGUUCAGAAUUCUAAUCAUUUUAAGUUACUGGAUUUUAAAUUAAUAAUUUAUACAUAUUCAAUGAAUUUUAAAGACAAAUACAAGGUUUGAACCAAAACUACUGAGUUCGGCCGAACUCGCUAGCUACACUCUAACUCCGCCCCCGGUGACUUGCACGAAUGAUGCAACGAUUAAGACUACAUGUCCAUCUAGUGCAUGGCUUAGAAGUAAGUUACCUUUGGCCAUUUUCUAAAAUUCUAACUAAUUAAUUAGUGAUUAAGGAGUGUAAACCGGCGUAUUACGGAUGCUUGAACUCGCUAACACGAAGCAAUUUUGAAAUAAUCAUCAAUAAUAGUUAGGUUUCAUAGUGUACAUUGUAUUUUGAAAUAAUCAUCAAUAAUAGUUAGGUUUCAUAGUGUACAUUGUAUUUGUGAGGAAAGCAUCAUAAUAAAUGGAAAACAAUAACCAGUACCGAUUUUUGUCUAAUAUAUAUAUAGUUGUAUGAUCAUAAAUCUCACUUAAUCAUAGCUUUAUUUGUACGUAUAACUUGACGUGAGUUCUUUGUUAUUUGGUGUGCAGGUACUUGACGGACUUGUCAAUAGUUUCGUCGAACAAGAGACCAGCCUUGUGCUUUGACCUCUAAUUUUCCAUUAUUUCUAGAGAGAAAAAAAGUUGAGUCUUCUACUAACUUUAUAAUGAAUAAAUGUAAGUUUGGUGCUAAUUGCAAGGAAUAAUAUGUCUCAAAUUAUAUCUGCCGUUAACUUUUUAUAUUCGAAAAUAUGUUCUAGAAACAUAUUUUUGCUCUCUGUUUUUGUUUUUCCUUUCCUUCAAUGAGUCGAGGGUCGAUUGGAAACAGUCUCUCUGCCUUUUCAGGUAGGGGUAAGGCUCGUCUACAUAUUACCCUCCCCAGAUCCCACUUUGUAUGACAUUACUGAGU